rnacentral:rRNA from 1 species
UCUAGAGUAUNGGAGAGGAAAGUGGAAUUCCUAGUGUAGCGGUGAAAUGCGUAGAUAUUAGGAAGAACACCAGUGGCGAAGGCGACUUUCUGGACGAAAACUGACGCUGAGGCGCGAAAGCCAGGGGAGCGAACGGGAUUAGAUACCCCGGUAGUCCCGGCCGUAAACGAUGGGUACUAGGUGUAGGAGGUAUCGACCCCUUCUGUGCCGGAGUUAACGCAAUAAGUACCCCGCCCGGGGAGUACGACCGCAAGGUUGAAACUCAAAGGAAUUGACGGGGGCCCGCACAAGCGGUGGAGUAUGUGGUUUAAUUCGACGCAACGCGAAGAACCUUACCAGGUCUUGACGUUGAUGGACAGAACCAGAGAUGGUUCCUCUUCUUCGGAAGCCAGAAAACAGGUGGUGCACGGUUGUCGUCAGCUCGUGUCGUGAGAUGUUGGGUUAAGUCCCGCAACGAGCGCAACCCCUAUCUUAUGAUGCCAGCACGUAAUGGUGGGAACUCAUGAGAGACUGCCGCAGACAAUGCGGAGGAAGGCGGGGAUGACGUCAAAUCAUCAUGCCCCUUAUGACCUGGGCUACACACGUACUACAAUGGGAGUUAAUAGACGGAAGCGAGAUCGCGAGAUGGAGCAAACCCGAGAAACACUCUCUCAGUUCGGAUCGUAGGCUGCAACUCGCCUACGUGAAGUCGGAAUCGCUAGUAAUCGCAGGUCAGCAUACCGCGGUGAAUACGUUCCCGGGCCUUGUACACACCGCCCGUCACACCACGAAAGUCGGAAGUGC